rnacentral:rRNA from 1 species
UACGGGGGGAGCAAGCGUUGUUCGGAUUUACUGGGCGUAAAGGGCGCGUAGGCGGCCAGCGCAAGUCAGUUGUGAAAUCUCCGGGCUUAACUCGGAAAGGUCAACUGAUACUGCGCGGCUAGAGUGCGGAAGGGGCAACUGGAAUUCUCGGUGUAGCGGUGAAAUGCGUAGAUAUCGAGAGGAACACCUGCGGCGAAGGCGGGUUGCUGGGCCGACACUGACGCUGAGGCGCGAAAGCCAGGGGAGCAAACGGG